CCCAAAGGGGUGCUUCCAAGGCACGUCAUGGAGGAUUGCGUACAGCGAUGCUAUCCAAAAUCAUGCUAUUGUUGGCCCUCUCUUAAAGUCCAUUACGGCUUUAACCGUCAACGACUGCAAAGAUGCCUGCUUCAUGCACGUGCCUGAUGUGUGCUACAUGUUCAACUAUCAUCCACAGACCAAGAAAUGUGAACUUUUCUACAAAGGCCGCGCUUCAGAAUACAGAGUAGAAAUGCAGAGUGGAUAUUUGUUUAAAACUCUAAAGUGUAAGUCAAACCCAUGUCUCAAUGGUGGGCAGUGUUACUCCCUGGGACAAGGUACACAAUGCUUAUGCAGACACGGACACAGUGGACCAACUUGUGCCUGAGUACGAUCUAGUCAUGGAAAUUACAUGCAGCAAGAUUCCACAAGAGCACAGCAAAAAAUUAUGUUCAAGCUAUAAUUAUAUGUAAUAUUUCGAAUCAAUAGAUGCUUACGACGUAAGCCGGAAGUGAAUUGAAAACAAUAGAAAACAAAGGAAUGGAAACGAGGCCUAAGGGCCCUGGAGGAGUUUAGAUUCCGUUCACCUGAAUUUAAGAAAAAUCGCUUGUCUGUAGGAAAACGACAUUUUCUUGCUUCUUGUUCAAUUCAAUAAGAAUGUUUUUCCAUCCCUAAGUUACUUCCGGUAUAUGUCGUAAGCAUGUAUAUUUAACGCAGAAAUUGCAUGUGUCGGCAGAUUGCACAAAAUUCACUGAUUCAAAGACGUAUUCAGUCGUUCAUUCAUUUAAUGCAAACAAGAAUGACCUUGUCGAUCUCUUGUGUUGUUUUCCCUUGUUGAUAAGCUGAUGGAUUGCUGGCCUGAUUGACACCAAAUUGCAAAAACGUUGUGGUCUAUACACCCUUUUAAUAAGUCCCGAGGUAUUGUUUUCU